rnacentral:rRNA from 1 species
CUGAAACAUCUAAGUACCCCGAGGAAAAGAAAUCAACCGAGAUUCCCCCAGUAGCGGCGAGCGAACGGGGAGCAGCCCAGAGCCUGAAUCAGUAUGUGUGUUAGUGGAAGCGUCUGGAAAGGCGCGCGAUACAGGGUGACAGCCCCGUACACAAAAAUGCACAUGCUGUGAGCUCGAUGAGUAGGGCGGGACACGUGGUAUCCUGUCUGAAUAUGGGGGGACCAUCCUCCAAGGCUAAAUACUCCUGACUGACCGAUAGUGAACCAGUACCGUGAGGGAAAGGCGAAAAGAACCCCGGCGAGGGGAGUGAAAAAGAACCUGAAACCGUGUACGUACAAGCAGUGGGAGCACGCUUAGGCGUGUGACUGCGUACCUUUUGUAUAAUGGGUCAGCGACUUAUAUUCUGUAGCAAGGUUAACCGAAUAGGGGAGCCGAAGGGAAACCGAGUCUUAACUGGGCGUUAAGUUGCAGGGUAUAGACCCGAAACCCGGUGAUCUAGCCAUGGGCAGGUUGAAGGUUGGGUAACACUAACUGGAGGACCGAACCGACUAAUGUUGAAAAAUUAGCGGAUGACUUGUGGCUGGGGGUGAAAGGCCAAUCAAACCGGGAGAUAGCUGGUUCUCCCCGAAAGCUAUUUAGGUAGCGCCUCGUGAAUUCAUCUCCGGGGGUAGAGCACUGUUUCGGCAAGGGGGUCAUCCCGACUUACCAACCCGAUGCAAACUGCGAAUACCGGAGAAUGUUAUCACGGGAGACACACGGCGGGUGCUAACGUCCGUCGUGAAGAGGGAAACAACCCAGACCGCCAGCUAAGGUCCCAAAGUCAUGGUUAAGUGGGAAACGAUGUGGGAAGGCCCAGACAGCCAGGAUGUUGGCUUAGAAGCAGCCAUCAUUUAAAGAAAGCGUAAUAGCUCACUGGUCGAGUCGGCCUGCGCGGAAGAUGUAACGGGGCUAAACCAUGCAC